rnacentral:rRNA from 1 species
UACGAAGGGGGCUAGCGUUGUUCGGAAUUACUGGGCGUAAGGGGCGCGUAGGUGGCUUGGCAAGUUGGGUGUGAAAGCCCAGGGCUCAACCCUGGAAUUGCAUUCAAGACUGCUUUGCUUGAAUUCGGUAGAGGUUGGUGGAAUUCCCAGUGUAGAGGUGAAAUUCGUAGAGAUUGGGAAGAACACCCGUGGCGAAGGCGGCCAACUGGACCGACAUUGACACUGAGGCGCGAAAGCGUGGGGAUCAAACAGG